GAAGUUUAAGAUUAGUGAAAGCUGCUAACUUAUCACUAUAGCGGUUUAAUUCCGUUUAUACUUCU
rnacentral:tRNA from 1 species